rnacentral:misc_RNA from 1 species
GAUGAAGAACGUAGCGAAAUGCGAUACUUGGUGUGAAUUGCAGAAUCCCGUGAACCAUCGAGUCUUUGAACGCAAGUUGCGCCCGAAGCCAUCAGGUUGAGGGCACGUCUGCCUGGGCGUCACAUAUCGUUGCCCAAUGCCUAUUGCAGUGCAAUAGGAAUUUCUAGGGCGAAUGAUGGCUUCCCGUGAGCGUUGUUGCCUCGCGGUUGGUUGAAAAUCGAGUCCUUGGUAGGGUGUGCCAUGGUAGAUGGUGGUCGAGUUAGAACGAUACCGAUCAUGUGCAUGCUCCCCAAAAUAUGGCCUCUGUGACCCACACGCGUCUUUUGACGCUCAUGACGAGACCUCAGGUCAGGCGGGGCUACCCGCUGAAUUUAAGCAUAUCAAUAAGCGGAGGA